rnacentral:rRNA from 1 species
AUUGACCGCUGGCGACAGGCCUAACACAUGCAAGUCGCGCGAGCGGCGGACGGGUGAGUAAUGUCUGGGGACUGCCCGAUAGCGGGGGAUAACUACUGGAAACGGUGGCUAAUACCGCAUACUAUCGGAUAACCCAUAUGGGAGUAGCUAGUAGGUGGGGUAAAGGCUCCCCUAGGCGACGAUCCCUAGCUGGUCUGAGAGGAUGAACAGCCCCACGGUGACUGAGACACGGCCCAGACUCCUACGGAGGCAGCAGUGGGGAAUAUUGCACAAUGGGCGCAAGCCUGAUGCAGCCAUGCCGCGUGUAUGAAGAAGGCCGUAGGGUUGUAAAGUACUUUCAGCGGGGAGGCGUUACCCGCAGAAGAAGCACCGGCUAACUCCGUGCCAGCAGCCGCGGUAAUAC